UACAGAGGGCAGCCAAGUCGUGAGGCGGAGCUAAUCCCUUAAAGCCAUUCUCAGUUCGGAUUGUAGGCUGAAACUCGCCUACAUGAGGCUGGAGUUACUAGUAAUCGCAGAUCAGAAUGCUGCGGUGAAUGCGUUCCCGGGUCUUGUACACACCGCCCGUCACACCACGGAAGUUGGGGGCGCCCGAAGCCACUUAGCUAACCCUUUUGGGAAGCGAGUGUCGAAGGUGAAAUCAAUAACUGGGGUGAAGUCGUAACAAGGUACC
rnacentral:rRNA from 1 species